GGGGCCUUAGCUCAGCUGGGAGAGCGCCUGCUUUGCACGCAAUGCAGGAGGCAGAAGUUCAAAUCUUCUAGACCCCACCA
rnacentral:tRNA from 19 species